CGUUAUUAGGGGGUGGCUAACUAUUAGUUCCCUAUUAGUAGGUUUAUUAUAGUUGUUAAUAGUUUUUUUACCUUCAACUCACUAUCCAAAAGCACCUAUAAUUAGCAGGUGGAUCUAAAGCGUCUCCUUAAAAAAACUUAACAGCUAUUAAUAACUAUCAGCUAACAAUAUUUUUAGCACUAAUUUAUUCGAACACGCCAAUAAUCAAUCUGUUGUUUCAUAGCACCAGCAUGAUAUAUACAAAGCUGAGACGACACCGAGACUAGUACAAUUUAUUUCAAAGGAAGCUAGGAGGCAGCUGACACUUGGUGUGCACCUCUCUUGAUCUGUUGCUCUCCAGCUGCAGUUGCCAAUUGCGCGCGAUUGAGUUGGCAGACGAGGCGAGACGCCAAUUGGGUUGCUGCAAGCUGAUCCUGCUGGAACACACAACUUUUUUCUUCAUUUUCUUUUUUUUUUUUGUUAAAAAGAAACACGCACCACUCUAGAGUACACAAAAGUGUUUUGUGUUGUGAUCCGUAUGGUUGGCCUGAGGACAAGGGCACGCAAAAUGGGCAGCAUGAGGUCAAUUUUCAUUCCCUUUUUUUAGGAAGGGGCUUAUUUAUAUAUUAGAUUAAAAUCAACACGGAAGAAGGAAAACUGAGGAAACUGAUAGAAAAGAGGAGGGUAAGAAAGAAAGAAUCCAAGAUAAAAAAAAACGUUAAAAAGAAAAUGAGCCUCAGCCUAGAGGUUAAUUUCUCACCAAGACAUAAUACUUGCUACCUCUGUCUCAAAAAGAUGCGAUUCUAGAUCUAGUUAAAAGUCAAACUAUUAACUCGUAUGAAUCCAAAUAGGUAUAUAUAUUAUGUCGUUAUAUAUGAAUCUAAUAAAAUUUGUUUUAUGUGAUAAAUAUGAGUACCUUUCUUUAUCAAUUACUUUAGAUUAUUUGAUCUAGCAAUAUUUUAGACUUACAACA
rnacentral:lncRNA from 1 species